rnacentral:rRNA from 1 species
AUUGAACGCUGGCGGCAUGCCUUACACAUGCAAGUCGAACGGCAGCACGGGUGCUUGCACCUGGUGGCGAGUGGCGAACGGGUGAGUAAUACAUCGGAACAUGUCCUGUAGUGGGGGAUAGCCCGGCGAAAGCCGGAUUAAUACCGCAUACGAUCCACGGAUGAAAGCGGGGGACCUUAGGGCCUCGCGCUAUAGGGUUGGCCGAUGGCUGAUUAGCUAGUUGGUGGGGUAAAGGCCUACCAAGGCGACGAUCAAUAGCUGGUCUGAGAGGACGACCAGCCACACUGGGACUGAGACACGGCCCAGACUCCUACGGGAGGCAGCAGUGGGGAAUUUUGGACAAGGGGCGAAAGCCUGAUCCAGCAAUGCCGCGUGUGUGAAGAAGGCCUUCGGGUUGUAAAGCACUUUUGUCCGGAAAGAAAUCCUUGGCUCUAAUACAGUCGGGGGAUGACGGUACCGGAAGAAUAAGCACCGGCUAACUACGU